UACGGAGGUGGCAAGCGUUGCUCGGAAUCACUGGGCGUAAAGGGCGCGUAGGCGGGGAGGUAAGUCGGGUGUGAAAUCCCUCGGCCCAACCGAGGAACUGCGCCCGAGACUGCUUCUCUUGAGUCCCGGAGAGGAAGAUGGAAUUCCCGGUGUAGCGGUGAAAUGUGUAGAGAUCGGGAGGAACACCGGCGGCGAAGGCGGUCUUCUGGACGGUGACUGACGCUGAGGCGCGAAAGCGUGGGGAGCAAACGGG
rnacentral:rRNA from 1 species